rnacentral:rRNA from 1 species
CCAAUAGCGUAUAUUAAAGUUGUUGCAGUUAAAAAGCUCGUAGUUGAAUUUCGGGGUCAGUAGGUCGGUCGUGCCACUGGUAUGAACUGGUUUUACUGAUUCCUCCCUCUUGAAGAACUGUAAUGCCAUUAAUUUGGUGUUGCAGGGAAUCAGGACUGUUACUUUGAAAAAAUUAGAGUGUUUAAAGCAGGCUUUAGCUUGAAUACAUUAGCAUGGAAUAAUGAAAUAGGACGUUUGAUCCUAUUUUGUUGGUUUCUAGGAUUGACGUAAUGAUUAAUAGGGAUAGUUGGGAGCAUUAGUAUUCAAUUGUCAGAGGUGAAAUUCUUGGAUUUAUUGAAGACUAACUACUGCGAAAGCAUUUGCCAAGGAUGUUUUCAUUAAUCAAGAACGAAAGUUAGGGGAUCGAAGACGAUCAGAUACCGUCGUAGUCUUAACCAUAAACUAUGCCGACUAGGGAUCGGAUGAUGUUAAUUUUUUAAUGACUCAUUCGGCGCCUUACG